GUGGGGAAUAUUGGACAAUGGGCGCAAGCCUGAUCCAGCCAUGCCGCGUGAGUGAUGAAGGCCCUAGGGUUGUAAAGCUCUUUCAGUGGGGACGAUAAUGACGGUACCCACAGAAGAAGCCCCGGCUAACUUCGUGCCAGCAGCCGCGGUAAUACGAAGGGGGCUAGCGUUGUUCGGAUUUACUGGGCGUAAAGCGCACGUAGGCGGAUCGUUAAGUCGAGGGUGAAAUCCUGGAGCUCAACUCCAGAACUGCCUUCGAUACUGGCGAUCUUGAGUCCGGAAGAGGUGAGUGGAACUCCUAGUGUAGAGGUGGAAUUCGUAGAUAUUAGGAAGAACACCAGUGGCGAAGGCGGCUCACUGGUCCGGUACUGACGCUGAGGUGCGAAAGCGUGGGGAGCAAACAGGAUUAGAUACCCGUGUAGUCC
rnacentral:rRNA from 1 species